ensembl:lncRNA
GUGAGAGCGGUGGUGGGGGGUGCGAGUGGCGCGGAGUUUUGAAUUGUUUGCUGUCCCUUUUUCACGGUUUUCCCUGGUUUCUCCGUCUGUUCUAUGUGCAUGAUCAGAACAGAACAAUCACCUCUGGCCUGAGGGUGCACCGCGUGGACCACCUCUUCUGCUGCAGUUUUUCCCCAGCUUAACUUCCUCCCUGACCACAUGGCUCAAGGGAAGUUCAGGUAUACGGCGUGUGGUUGGUUCCCUUCGGCAUGCGCCAGGAGAAGGGAACCAAUGGCGGGCCCUCCGUCUGUCCUGCGGUGUAUUAAGAGACAACCUGACCUGGGUCGGCGUGGUGCCGCGAGGGUCGCCGUGGGAGACGUCAGGAGAUUUUGUGUGUGUGUUCCAGCCGUCUGUGGGUGACGAUAUGCAGAUUGCUGGUGCAGUGAAGAGUAGAGCUGGAAGCGGUUGGCCUGGGAUGACAGAGAAGAGACUGGCACUGGGACUUCAGGAAAGAAGUUGGCUGUGUGUGUGUGGG